CAGCAGCCGCGGUAAUACGGAGGAUCCAAGCGUUAUCCGGAAUCAUUGGGUUUAAAGGGUCCGUAGGCGGUCUUGUAAGUCAGUGGUGAAAGCCCAUCGCUCAACGGUGGAACGGCCAUUGAUACUGCAGGACUUGAAUUAUUGGGAAGUAACUAGAAUAUGUAGUGUAGCGGUGAAAUGCUUAGAGAUUACAUGGAAUACCAAUUGCGAAGGCAGGUUACUACCAAUUGAUUGACGCUGAUUGACGAAAGCGUGGGUAGCGAACAGGAUUAGAUACCCCGGUAGUCCCUGUCUCUUAUAC
rnacentral:rRNA from 1 species